rnacentral:tRNA from 1 species
CAAAAGAUAAUUUAUAUAAAAUAUUAACAUUGGAAGUUAAAAAUUAAGUGUUAGCUUAUCCUUUGA